UACGAAGGGUGCAAGCGUUAUUCGGAACCAUUGGGCGUAAAGCGCGUGUAGGCGGAUCGGCAAGUCUGCUGUGAAAGCUCCUGGCUUAACCGGGAGUGGUCGGUGGAAACUGCCAGUCUGGAGGACGGUAGAGGUAGGUAGAAUUCCCGGUGUAGUGGUGAAAUGCGUAGAGAUCGGGAGGAAUACCUGUGGCGAAGGCGGCCUACUGGGCCGGACCUGAC
rnacentral:rRNA from 1 species